GUGUUCCACUUGGAAGCAUAGAUAUAUAAUUGAAACUACACAGAGAAGAUUACCAUGACCAGUGUACAAGAAUGACAGGCAAAUUCAUAGGGUGUUCCUUAUUUUU